rnacentral:rRNA from 1 species
UACGUAGGGUCCAAGCGUUGUCCGGAUUUAUUGGGCGUAAAGAGCUCGUAGGCGGUUCGGUAAGUCGGGUGUGAAAACCCCAGGCUCAACCUGGGGACGCCACUCGAUACUGCUGUGACUUGAGUUCGGUAGGGGGGCACGGAAUUCCUGGUGUAGCGGUGAAAUGCGCAGAUAUCAGGAGGAACACCGGUGGCGAAGGCGGUGCUCUGGGCCGAAACUGACGCUGAGGAGCGAAAGCGUGGGUAGCAAACAGG